ACUACUUCUCCAGAUUCUGAAUGUUCUACAUCUGGGCACAAGAUUACCGUUCUUUCAUUGUACCAUCUCAGGCUCAGUCAUUGUUACUUAAGCAGGCCACCAUGUUGCGGGACUGGUGGGGAUGAGCUUGCAGGCUCAGUUGUCAGUGUGAGAACUUUCCCUUUCCUAUGACCUUCCAGAUGAGGAACUGCUCAGAUCACCAGCUGCUUCAGGUUACCAGCCCACACCUGUCUGUCUCACCUCUGACAACCUUGAUAUAAAUUAAACAAUGAAUAAGAACAAAAACAAUUUAAAACUGCGUAAUGGUCCAAACCACCAUGGAUGGUGUUCUGACGAUGAUACACGGGGUGAGGUCUG
rnacentral:lncRNA from 1 species